rnacentral:rRNA from 1 species
AUUGAACGCUGGCGGCAGGCCUAACACAUGCAAGUCGAACGAGUGGCGGACGGGUGAGUAAUGUCUGGGAAACUGCCUGAUGGAGGGGGAUAACUACUGGAAACGGUCGCUAAUACCGCAUACCAUCAGAUGUGCCCAGAUGGGAUUAGCUUGUUGGUGGGGUAACGGCUCACCAAGGCGACGAUCACUAGCUGGUCUGAGAGGAUGACCAGCCACACUGGGACUGAGACACGGUACAGACUCCGACGGGAGGCAGCAGGGGGGAAUAUUGCACAAUGGACUCAAGCCUGAUGCAGCCAUGCCGCGUGUCUGAAGAAGGCCUUCGGGUUGUAAAGUACUUUCAGCGGGGAGGCGUUACCCGCAGAAGAAGCACCGGCUAACUCCGUGCCAACAGCCGCGGUAAUUC